rnacentral:rRNA from 1 species
CCUACGGGAGGCUGCAGUGGGGAAUAUUGGACAAUGGGGGGAACCCUGAUCCAGCCAUGCCGCGUGUGUGAAGAAGGCCCUCGGGUUGUAAAGCACUUUCAGUGAGGAAGAACGCCUGGUGGUUAAUACCCAUCAGGAAAGACAUCACUCACAGAAGAAGCACCGGCUAACUCCGUGCCAGCAGCCGCGGUAAUACGGAGGGUGCGAGCGUUAAUCGGAAUUACUGGGCGUAAAGCGCGCGUAGGUGGCUUGAUAAGCCGGUUGUGAAAGCCCCGGACUCAACCUGGGAACGGCAUCCGGAACUGUCAAGCUAGAGUGCAGGAGAGGAAGGUAGAAUUCCCGGUGUAGCGGUGAAAUGCGUAGAGAUCGGGAGGAAUACCAGUGGCGAAGGCGGCCUUCUGGACUGACACUGACACUGAGGUGCGAAAGCGUGGGUAGCAAACAGGAUUAGAUACCCUUGUAGUC